UCUUAAAAAAAACAAAUGAAAAAAGAGAAAAAGGAAGAGAACCGCUGUCUAAAACAGCACUUUUAGAAUCUGUAAAAACCCUAUACGUGCAGCUUUAUUACUGGCUAAGCGUUUUCUGCCUUCUCUCUCUUCCUCUUGUUCGUCGAUGAUUUUUUUUUUUCGUCUGAGAAAUCGAUGUUGGUAGAUUAAGAGUGGGACAACAAAUCGGUGGUGUGUGGGAAGGGAUGCAUCUUGUAGAUGGAACCGUGGUUGCAAUCAAGGAGAUCGCUAUGGAGAUUGCGAUGUCGUAGAUUUUCAUCUUGAGGAAGAUCAAUCACCCCAACAUCAUCCGCUUCAUCGACAUGAUCGAGGUACAAAUGGGACAACAAUGAGAAACAUCUGAGACCUGAGAUGGCUCUGUUUUACCUUAGAACACAUGGUGUUCUAGCAAGGUUUCAUCUCAGAUGUAUUACAAUUACUCCCUGAGAACUUGCCGGAACGUCGAGCUAUCACGGAGAGGUUACAAUGACAACGUUCUCUUUCACAGAAUCAUCAAGGUGGAGAUUGUACUGGAACUGGAAGAGGUUGGCAAUCAAUUUAUGGGUAUAUUCUCUCUUUGAUCAAUGCUGGUUGAAUCCAUGUAUGUGUUUGUAAAGUAGGUUGAUUUGGGUUUUAGAUUGAUACACAUAAGUUUCCUUUU